rnacentral:lncRNA from 1 species
CGGCAAAGGACCGGCUUGAACCGGCUUAAACCGGCAAAGGACCGGCAUGGACCGGCUUGAACCGGCUUAAACCGGCAAAGGACCAGCAUGAACCGGCAAAGGACCAGCAUGGACCGGCAAAGGACCGGCUUGAACCGGCAAAGGACCGGCUUAAACCGGCAAAGGACCGGCUUGAACCGGAAAAAGGACCGGCAUGAACCGGCAAAGGACCAGCAUGAACCAGCAUCACAGCGUCAAAACAUACCUAACCAGCAUAUGCUGUUUUUUUCAGCAGGGUAGUGCGUUGUGUGUUAGCUGGGAGAGCAUUUGUGGCAUACGAUUAAGAGUGAACGUGUGUGUAUAUUUGCUAAUAGUUCCCAUCGGUUAAUUUACAAUAAAUUCUGGUUCUUUUGUUCGCUUUCUUUAUAAUUCCUUUAAUGGUUUUGGAUCCCCCAGACAUGCUUGGUGUAGCCUAUUUCUUGCUCACGUUUGGGUCUGUUGUGUUUCAGAGUUGGACUCGCAUGAGCAGCGGUUAGCGAACAGUUUAGAUGAGGCUCUGAACGCUGCUCUUCACGGGUUACCAGUGUUCACCUCCCCGAGCGAAACCGCUUCACAUGUGGACGCCUCCGCUGGUGGGCACGCGUGUGUGUUUUGCACUUGUUCUCUGACGGUUUACUCGUCGAGCGUGGCGUCGUACUCUCUGCCCUGCGCUCAUCUCAUGUGCGGAGCGUGUUUGAGGCAGAAACACGCGUCUGGGUCUCGGAGACUGCAGAUUAAGUGCCCUGUGUGCGGCACGACUGCCUCCAGCAGAGACGUCACUCGAGUGCAUCACUGAACAUAUUCAUCAUGAGCUCAUUUGUUUGCAGAUUUUGUGUAUCGUUUUCAUUAAAGUUUUUGAAAAAGCUCGAAAAGGACUGUUAUCGGUUAAUGUUUUCUAGUAAUGGUUACCUGAAUACUCUAAAGCACAUUGUGUUUGGGGUCGGUAAGAGUUUUUAAAUGUUUCUGAAAGUCUCUUAUGCUUCACCAAGCUGAAAAAUACAGUAAAAAUGUGAAAUAUUUUUAGACUUUCAAAACAGCUGUUUUCUGUGUGAAUAUGUGUUAAACUGUAAUGUAUUUCUGUGAUGUGCAGCUGUAUUUUCAGCAUCAUUCCUCCAGUCUUCAGUGUCACAUGAUCUUCAGAAAUCAGUAUAAUAUGCUGCUCGAGAAACAUUUCUGAUUAUUAUCAAUGUUGAAAACAGUCGUGCUGCACAAUAUAUCUUUGUGGAAACUGAUACGUUUUAUUUUUCAGGAUUCACAGAUGAACAGAAAGCUCAGAAGAACAGCAUUUAUCUAAAAUAGAAAUCUUUUGUAACAUUAUAAAUGUCUGAUCAGUUUAAUGCGUC